CCAUAGGAACCAGUCAAGAUAUUUUGCCACAGGAUCUAGGACAAGAGGAUUUACCUACUAUUGCCCACCUUGCAAAUCUCCUAGGGACCUUUCACCUGCUUCUGCUACUGCAAAUGAUUGGACAUCCAUUUACAUUUCCUCUUCUUCAUGUGUGGAAGGAAACUUUUGUUCACUGUGCUUCAGGCUGCCCCUGGCCUGAAAGUGGGUCCUUGAAUUCCCCUUGUACCAUUCCAACUUGCCAAGGUGGUUAUGAGACCUGAGGGAGGUGUUUAGGCGUGGACUUUGGGCCAGGUGUGUAAAUCCAUUUGGUACCAACUUUGGGCCCCAAGGAUAAGGGCAUGUGUAGCUGCACCAGAAGAGAGGGGAACAGUGAAAACUAAAAUUUCACCCUCUGUGAUGAUCUUCACCACCACCAGUACCAACAAUGUUGUAAGUACAGAGGAUUCACCUACCCAGUCGUUUUUCCUCUCCAUCCGGGCCCUCUGCAAGAGUGAGCCAGUGCUCAGAGAUGGUGGAGGGUAUGGCUGGUGACUCAGUCUCAACUGUGUCUCAACUGUGUCCAAAGUGUCUAGGGAGAAGUCUGCUCACCGGUAGCUAUAUCCUCUCUGGGAAGGCACAGUGCCCUAAAGUGGUGAGGCUGUAGGCCUGUGGGAACUGGGGCCUCCUGCCCCUCUUUUUAUUUUUAUUUAAUACUCACAAACUUCUCUUCAUUCCCCCCCUUUUUUUCCCUUACAGUUUCUGAAAGAAGGACGGAAGUAACACCAAGAACUCCCAGAUGAAGAGGACCUUCCUGGAUCUGUAACUGGGAUUAACCAGUUCUUUACUGGGAGAGAAAGUUUCAACUAAUCCUCAGGAUAAAAGCAAACAGGCCUGUGACUGUCCCUUGAACACUGACAGUGUAAACAAGCUUCUGGCUCCUCCAGGUCAAGCAGAGCAACACUUUUCAUUAGAAUGUUGGGUUUCUUCUUUGUUAUUCAAACAUACACCCACACACAUCCCCUUGUCCCUCCCUAAUGAACAAACCUCAACAGAUGGAGAGCCUAGGCUCCCAAGACUUAUGACUGAGAAGAUGCACUUCACUCAAGGUGGGUUGGCUUGUACAGAAUGGGGGAGAGAGAAGAAAUGGGAAGCUAGUAUAGGUAAUUACUCCUCUUUUAAUACUCCUUACAGAUAGAAAUCCAAAAAAUCCUGUUCCGCAAGGUUAGCAGCCUCUGGGGCCUGGGAAACCGAUUUGGCUGAUGUGUCUGUGAUAGGGACUAGGCUUGGGGCUGCACCA
rnacentral:lncRNA from 1 species